GCGGACGUAGUUCAACCGGUAGAGCGGCAAUCUCCAAAGUUGCGAGUUGGGGGUUCGAGUCCCUCCGUCCGCG
rnacentral:tRNA from 1 species